UAAUACAUGCAAGUCGAGCGAAGUUUUUCUGGUGCUUGCACCGGAAAAAUUUAGCGGCGAACGGGUGAGUAACACGUAAAGAACCUGCCUCAUAGACUGGGACAACUAUUGGAAACGAUAGCUAAUACCGGAUAACAGCAUUAACUGCAUGGUUAAUGUUUAAAAGUUGGUUUUGCUAACACUAUGAGAUGGCUUUGCGGUGCAUUAGCUAGUUGGUGGGGUAAAGGCCUACCAAGGCGACGAUGCAUAGCCGACCUGAGAGGGUGAUCGGCCACACUGGGACUGAGACACGGCCCAGACUCCUACGGGAGGCAGCAGUAGGGAAUCUUCCGCAAUGGGCGAAAGCCUGACGGAGCAACGCCGCGUGAGUGAAGAAGGAUUUCGGUUCGUAAAGCUCUGUUGUUAGGGAAGAAUGAUUGUGUAGUAACUAUACAUAGUAGAGACGGUACCUAACCAGAAAGCCACGGCUAACUACGUGCCAGCAGCCGCGGUAAUACGUAGGUGGCAAGCGUUGUCCGGAAUUAUUGGGCGUAAAGCGCGCGCAGGUGGUUUAAUAAGUCUGAUGUGAAAGCCCACGGCUCAACCGUGGAGGGUCAUUGGAAACUGUUAAACUUGAGUGCAGGAGAGAAAAGUGGAAUUCCUAGUGUAGCGGUGAAAUGCGUAGAGAUUAGGAGGAACACCAGUGGCGAA
rnacentral:rRNA from 1 species